AAGACAAAAGCGAACGAGAGGCGGAAAAAAGGAAGACGCUUCCUGAAGUUGGGGAUGCUGGACUAGUUUUCAUACUAGAUCCCCUCGUGGCAGCAUUAAGGAACUUCACAUUCUUCUCACACUAUUCAUGGAAAGUUCCUGGAACUCCCACAGCAGCAAGAAAACUUCGCUUGUAGGAGUCCUUAGCACAUCUGUAAAGUUUUAUUGGCCAAAAUGUGAUACAUCUCCAUUUCUGGAUCAGUCACUGUGGUCAAGUGCAAGACGCUCUACAGGACUCAACCUGGGGAUGAGGUCUGUCUACUCCAUCCAUAUGGUCACUUUAUACUGAGGUUGGGGUUGCUGCUUUUUAAGAGAUGAAAAGAUCCAAGGUGUGACACAGAAUGGAUGACUGGAGUGGAAAAAAUGAAAAUGUCAUUGGAAUAUGGAAGUAAAGAAACUGAGAAGCUGAGAGUUUUUGCAUCAUCCAGUCAGUGUUUCUCAAUCGGGAAAGAAUUUGCCUCCCAGAGGACAUUUGGCAAUGUCUGGAGCUACUUCUGUUUGUCACAAUUAGGGUAAGGGUGCCACUGGCAUCUAGUAGGGGGAGGUCUGGGAUGCUGCUAAACAGCCUACAAUGCACAAGACAUGCUUCCACUAUUAAAAAAAAAUUAUCUGGCCCAAAAUGUCAUAGUGCCAGGAUAUUAUAAAUAUAGGCAAAGGUGUUCAGAGGUUUAAAACUGAACAAGAGGACAUCAGUAAAAGUUCAGUGUUGCAGAAUGGGUUAAGAUUGGAACAUGAAAACAAAAGUUUUUGUCCCAAGAUCAGGAGCAGAUGAGGUCUAGUGGUUGGAAAGCAAGACUGGAAAUGACACCUUGGACUAAGGAUAUUUGGGCAAGCCCACAUAACAGCAUUUGAAUAUGCAACAGUUAGAGCUGGGACAAUGAAAGCUUGAUUUUGGUCUUGGCAAAUAAGGGCUAGAGAGUGUGGAGCUGUGGCCAGAGUCAAUUCUGUGGGGACAAGUAGAAAAGGGUUUGGAUCUUAGCUUGUGCCUAUACUAGCUGAGCAACUCAUUUUACCUUGUAGGGUUUCCUUCCUUUAAGGUGGGAAAACUUGUUAAAAGGAUUAGAAAUGUAUGUUAAAUACCCAGGACAUAAAUGCUCAGUAAAUGAUAUUGAACAUUAUUGAGAUACUGUUGAAGCUCUAAUUAUACCUCUCUUUCCAUGAUUGUCUUUGCCCCCUUUUGGAAAAUUAGUCAGGGUACAACUAUAUUGCAUAACAUGGAAAAUAGAAAAACAUAUGAACUGUGGGAUGGGAAAGGAAAAGUGAACGACAACAGACAAAACAUUUGCAAGACAUCCUUAGGCAAAAUAUUGAAAGCUGAGUCAGAAUCACCAAGAUCUCUGAACAACAUUCCUCUGUUAGGAAGAGAAAGCAGAUAUUUCCAUGAGAAUGUGAGGGGGAUGAGGAGAGUGGAGUAUGCUGCUGUGAUCAAUUAUCCAAACACAACCUGGUUAAAUCCAACUCUCUGUGGCUCCUGCAUCCACACAGCUGCAUGUUAUGCAGCACACAAUGAGGCUGACUGCUUCCACUUGCACUCAUGACCACUGUCCUCCAAUGUCCUUAGUACUGUGCUGCAAUGAUGUUAUAUAUCCCCAAUCCAUGCUCUCCUAGUUGAUACUUCGUACUUUUUCAACCUCUUUGCAAACCUCCAACACCUCUUUUACCAUAAUCACUGUUAGCUAAUGACCUUGAUACCUAUUUGACUGUCAGAAUGGAAGUCUUUAGGAAGAACUUCCAUAAACUCUCCCACCUCAUCUACUUAACUCCUACAUCUGUGUCCAUUCACUCUACCUUCUUUCCUGCUAUGAAGAAUUAGCUUGAACUGUUCAUACUGUUAGCUAAGACCAACCCCUCAUUGAUGCACUAUAAAGGCAUCCCUUUACACCCACUAAAGCAUGACUCUAGCAAUUCUCAACAUUCUCUUCGACCAGAAUCAUUCUCUUUUGGAUCAUUCCCGUCAGCCUAAUGUCAUUUCUCUCACCUUAAAAAAAAAAAAAAGAAAAGUUUUACUGUGCCAAUUUCAUUUCAUUUUGCUUCUUCCCUUCAAUACAAAAGCCUUGAAUUCUCUGUAGUGACAGGCUCUACUUUCUCUACUCAAGAGAGCGCUCAUUCUCUAUCUUAAUCCAUUAGGCUUUCACCACCACUGUUUUGCAAAACUGCUCUUACCAAGACCAUCAGUGCAAUUUGUAUUAGUAAAUCUAAUAGCUCUCAAACCUCAUCUUCCUUGAACUGUAUGGAAUUUGACAGUCAGAUACAUUCUCCUCCUUAAAAUGCUUUCUUUACAGUUGACCUUCCAUAUCCACGGGUUCUACAUCUAAUACAUCUGGGAUUCAAUGAAGCCCAGAUCAGAAAUAUUUAAAAAAUAGGCUAGGUGUGGUGGCCCACGCCUGUAAUCCCAGCACUUUG